GACGAACGCUGGCGGCGUGCUUAACACAUGCAAGUCGAACGGUGAAGCGCCUCCCUUUUUGGUGGGUGUGGAUGAGUGGCGAACGGGUGAGUAACACGUGAGUAACCUGCCCCCUUCUUCUGGAUAACCGCAUGAAAGUGUGGCUAAUACGGGAUAUUCUGGGUCUGUCGCAUGAUGGGUCUGGGAAAGAUAUUGUUUCGGUGGGGGAUGGGCUCGCGGCCUAUCAGCUUGUUGGUGGGGUGAUGGCCUACCAAGGCGGUGACGGGUAGCCGGCCUGAGAGGGUGGACAGUCACACUGGGACUGAGACACGGAACAGACUCCUACGGGAGGCAGCGGUGGGGAAUAUUGCACAACGGGCGCAAGCAUGAUGCAGCGACGCCGCGGGAGGGAUGGAGGCCUUUGGGUUGUGAACCUCUUUAGCAAGUGAAGCAGGCCUGCCUCGUUUGUGGGUGGGUUGACGGUAGCUGGAUAAGAAGCGCCGGCUAACUACGUG
rnacentral:rRNA from 1 species